rnacentral:lncRNA from 1 species
CACAAGGAAAGUGCAAAUCUAGAGGAUGGAACUAGUUUUGUUAGAAUUGAUACUCUCCUUAUUACCUCAAAAAUCACAAUAAUGUAGCUAGGUUUGGCUAUCUGUUUAUAAUACAGAAGUAACAAUUGACAUAAUACCGUGGUGAGAACUGGUGGUUGGAUAUAUUAUACAUUAUACUUUUGUCUUUAUUUGCCACUUAACUGACCAACCUGGACAUCUGUAAAGGUAUGCUAUUUUUCUUUACUGGUUGAAGUGGUUGUUUAAUAUGCCAGCCACAAAACGAUAUUCAGAUUUGCUGCCAAAUAACAAAUGAGAUGAAUAUGUUGUGCCUCAUCUAAGCAAAGAUGAUCAGGAAACUGCAAAAACUUGUCUUGCCAGUUUAUUAUACUAACAUGAAAACCUUAUUGAAAAACCAUUGUGUUUCUUCAUGCAUGUACUAGGGUGCAUCUUUUAAGGAAUCUGAUUACUAAAUAUGAGAAAAUAUGUGCCCACACUUGCGCUACAUGAACUAGAUCCCUUAAAAAUAAUAGAUUAUAUUAUUCAGAAUAUUUCAAAUUUGAAAAAAGUUUUAAAAAGUUAAUUAUCUUUCUUAAUUUUUAUUUACUGACUACAAUACUACUAGAGGGGCAUUAUGGAUUCCUGUCUGUCAAGUAUCAGGUUAUAGGUUAAGUUUUAUUUUGUA